GCCGCAAAUACCUCAUCAAAUGGGUAGGAUACAAUCAUCCAACCUGGGAACCCGUGUCCGCCUUGAAGGACACCACCGCCCUCGACACCUAUGAGUCCUCACUCACCCCGGUAGGGGGGGAUAAUGUGAUGGGUUAGCACCUGUUAGUAAUCAACUUACACAACCAACUCCCCUCCUGCACCUGCUCAUUUCUGGCUGUUGUGACCUUGUGUAACCCUCAAUGUUCUUCUGCUCUGUGCUCCGCACUUGCAUAGUCUCUAAUGAUUCUUCUGUGUAGCUCCUUACAUUCUCCUGCUCUGUGUUCUGCGCUUGCAUAGUCUCUAACAAUUCUUCUGUGUAUCUCUCAAUGAUUCCCCCACCCCAUAUUCCACGCUUGUGUAGCUUCUAACAAUUCUUACGCGUACCUCUUAAUGUUCUUCCACUCCGCACUCCACUGUGGAGUGGCUUCUGAUAUUCUUCCACUCUGAACUUUCCUCUAUAAGAACCCCCUUCAUACAACCUUUUCUUCUGAUUUCUUUUCUCUUUCUUUCCUUAAUCAAUUCGUAAUCUGUAUUAGGAUAGUGC
rnacentral:sRNA from 1 species